GAUCCAGUAGUAACUCUGAUUUAAAAGAGGGGAAAAAAAAGCAACACAACUCAAAAACAUCAUCCAGACAAAGGACUGAAGUGGAUAAACUGUUGGGAACGUUGAGGAUUCAAGAAGCAGUCUGGCUCAAGACUCAGUCUUUUGUUUUACAAGGAGCUCCAUUACCAGAUCUCUUAAGGCUCACAGUCUACUUAUAAGUUGCUUGGUUCUCCAGAUUUGAUUCUUGGUGAACUUGACAAGUCUUCCUUGGGCCAGUACCCUACUGGGCUGGUGAUGGAUGGCAUCGAGCUAUGUCCAAGAAGGUGGCAGUUUGUGACAUGUCCUGUUGACUUCAGCAACGGUUGACUUUUAAGUGUCAUUUAUUCAGCAUACUGAGGAUAAGAAGCCCUGUUCUGCAGGAAGCCAAGGUUUGUUUAUUGUGCUCAAGAAACAUGGAAGACAACAAGGAGUUCUUGGGUUGAGGAAGAAAGGAAGAAAGGUCUCCCUAUGAUCCUGCUAACUUUGUACAGGUUUUGAGAGGCCCAUCUGUGCAGGGACUUCAUUGGUCCUCAUUUGCCUGCUAUCAUAUUGUAGUCUGCACCAGACCUCAGACCUGCAAUACUGCAAGAAAUAGAAGUACAGUGAUUGUCUCCACUUACAGUCAGUGGCUAUCAAUGAAUGUUGCACUUUGAAUGAAUUCAGAGUAAACUGGCAGAAAUUUUAAGCAGAAACUCUUCAUCAAAGUGAAAUAUCAUAGAAGGCUGCUGUUGUAACUUUCAGCCACUAGCAAACUGAGUCUUACAAAGAACUUGACUCAACCAGUUAGACAGAAUGGAGCCAUACAGAAUGGAGCCUUAAGAACUGUACAGGGAACUUCUUGACUCAGACACCUAGCUUAACGACUGGUUGAGAAUGAGAGAAUGAAGCAUUAACAACUCAAGUUGGAAGCUGUAAGAUCUAUGGGCCCCAUUCUAGAAGCAGAGCGUGUGGAGUGUGCGGGCUGUUUAUCUUCACUGUCUCCUCAUGGCUAAUAAACAUCAGAAAAGGAGGAUGCACGACUACCAGAGAUCCUGUUCAAAAACUCCCAAAUCUUCUAGACAUAAGUGGGGCAGUCUUGGACCAACUGGACUAUGUAACAAUGAAUACACACAUUCACCUCUGUCUGCCCACCAGCCCCAGAUUGAGACUCCAGACAACACAGCACUGGAUCCAGGAGUGGUGAAAUACAUCUACCUCUAAAUCUCUCUUUCUCUGUCUCUCUUUCUCCCUCUUCUUUUUCUUCUCAAUCUUCUUUUAGUCACUUUUAGUCUGCAGUAGCCUGUUGCUUGAAGUUGCCUUAAAAUAGUUGAUAAGGAUAUAACACUUAUGCCAUGUACACUUAUCCAUGCUGCUUAAUCGCUGUUAGAAAGUUGCCUAAUUUUGCUUCAAACUAGUUGAUUAGUUGUUAGUAAGCUCAAUAAAUUGCUGUGGCCUGACUGCCCAGCGAGCAGGGAGUGCCCUAUUCAGUGAGAUUCCAAAGAUUCACUUUAUUCACAACUCACCUUAUUAAAGCAAUGCACAGGUGUUCUGGCCUGGGUGCACACACUGCAUGUUUGUUGUACUUUUAUUGUGCAACGCCUGAAUUAUAUUAAAGGCUGACUGAGCUGCACCAGCUUCUGUUAGGAGUCAUCUGACUCAGUGCACUCUAAAACCAAUAUAACUCUGUAAUAAAAAACCUAUUUAACCUUCCCAUUUGUGAAUGCAUUCCAUUGGACAUAGCAGCUUGAUGUUCAUUAAAAUUAAAGACAGAAAAUUGUGUUAGGUAAUGCACUGCUUCCCUCUUGGCAUCAUAGGUCUGGUACCUCCUUGGUGUUCCAGUGUGACCUUUUGUGUUGUGAGAAGCAGUAAUUUAUUUUCUCAUGCUAUUGGGAUGGUUUUUUCUCUGAUUGCUCUCUGUGCUUCUUGCUCAUGGUCAUCACUCGGUAUAUCUUGCCUCAUUCAGUCACCUUUGGGAGCAUGGAAUACCUACAUAGAAGAGUUUUAUACCUGUUAACGUUCCAUCUAGCAUAUAAGAAUUGUCAAUUCAGAGUAUUGGAGCCAAACGUUUAACUCUAUAUUCUAAGCCAAAGAACGGAGAGGCAGCUGUCAAGGCACAAACAGACAGUUCUUACAAGGUGGGCAUCACUGUGGCUGUUUAAAAAAGCUCUGAAAUAACAUCAUUAACACUUGUUUUGAAGAUACUGUGUUUGAAAACCAUAGAACUCUGUUUCCAGUGUUGUGCAUACUCAUUAGCUGGAUAAGUAACUGUUUUUCUCAACACUACACAAGUCUGACCUACCUCAAGUUCUGAACUGGGCUGAUUUCAACUGAAAAGGAAAAAUUGGAAGCCAGUAGCAGUCUUAACAGUGUUGAAUGUGGAAGUUGUAGUCCUAGGACUGGAACAGUCAUAGAUGCAGAGAGGCAGUAUUUAAAUAUUGGCAUAAAUAGACCCCGCAGAACAUUGGGAUUGACACCGUGGACCAAAUGUACCUUUAGUAUUAAGCUGGCUGAUGUUGGUGUUGUACCCCAGGUGCAGCUGAUGCAUGGCAUGAAAGAAGGAAUACUCUGUUGGGGUUGUUUUGCUUUGUUUGAUUAUUUGUAUUUCUUUCUGGAGACUUGUUGCUAAGCAAUUGGGGAAGCAGUAAGGCAAAAGAUAUAAGGCCAUAAUUCACUUUGUAAACAAUGGAAAUCUUUGCAAUUUCAGAAGAAGCUGCAGCAAUAAUACAUAACAUCAGAAAGGA